GGCUGCGGGUGGCCCCCGUUUCACACCUGCAUGCUGGAGUGGGAGGGGGCCCGUGGGUUUCGUAAUCGGCCGCCGUGUCUCCCUCGCCCGGGCUGCGCCUCGUUCACUGCAGGCAGAACAAAGCUCUCGGUCGCACUGGUGCUUCCUGGCUUGUCGCCUCCUGCCUGCAAACCGCUGAGCGUCCCCCGUCCUCCUCCUUCCCUCCCCCGUCCCCUCCCCGCCUUGGUAUCAUCAUGCCGAAAGAGAGAAACGAGACGCGAUGAGCGAUUCAGAUACUGUUUGCGUGGAGGUGACUUCAAUUUUGUUCUUCAGAUUUGAAUACCUCAUCUCUUUCUGCCCUAACACUGAUCUUCUACUGCAAGGAUGUCACUGCAUCAGGGAUGAGGGGCUUGAUAGCCACCUGUAUGUAUGACUCCUGAACAAUGAUAUGAGGUCAGAAGAAUGAGCUUGAUCCCAAUCACAUUCAUAUCGAUACAAAUGGGUUUAACUUUAGCUGUGCAUGGAGAGAGGUAAUUUUAAAUGACAACUAAAUGAAGUCAGAGAACUUCACCAGUCAAUUCACUGGCAUCCAAAAUGCAGAGGGCAGACCUUCUAUGCAGAGAUGCUGAUCUAUACUGACUCAAGGACUACCUCUAUUCUUUUUUUUUUUUUUUUUUUAAACUUAAGCCUCAUCUUUUGAAUUUCCAGGCAUUUGGGCUUUUUCUGGUAAUUAUACUGCAGUAUUGUUGUACCUAGUUUUUUCUUAAAUAGAUUUGCAAAAACCUAGAAUCAUCUAUAGCAAAUCAGAGUUGUAUCUUUUAAUCUCUGAGAUGAUGUUUGGCGUGGAGGGGAUACAUGACUACGAAGUGGAUGUUGUAUGAACAUUUCUAUGCAAAAUAUAAAAUUACUUGAUUGCAUGUGGUUGAUGACUGGAAGCUGGAUCUGAUUACUUGAAUGAUCUCUUCCUGAGUUCCUAUAACUCAUUUCUAAUAUGGCUUGUGUCUCGAAUGCUUUUUUUAGCCAGGAGUUGCAUUACAUUGUGGGUAGCGCUCUCUCCCAUUUUUCUUUCCACUGAACACCAGUCUUUCAGUGACCCUUUCUGUCAGUUGUCUUUGUGCUUGGCUGUAUUGUAGAGAUGUGAAGAUCGUAAUAGGAAAUAAAAGAUAAGGGAAAGAUAAAACCUUUCCUUAU
rnacentral:lncRNA from 1 species